AUUCUACUUCGGCACUAUAUAUACUAAAAGUGGAAGGAUACAUAGAAGGUUAGCAUUCCCCUCUGCGCAAAGAUGACACACGAAUUCGUGAAGAGUUCCACAGUUUU